GGAGUCUAGCGGCGGACGGGUGAGUAACACGUGGGCAACCUGCCUGUAAGACUGGGAUAACACCGGGAAACCGGUGCUAAUACCGGAUAAUCCUUUUCCUCUCAUGAGGAAAAGCUGAAAGUCGGUUUCGGCUGACACUUACAGAUGGGCCCGCGGCGCAUUAGCUAGUUGGUGAGGUAACGGCUCACCAAGGCGACGAUGCGUAGCCGACCUGAGAGGGUGAUCGGCCACACUGGGACUGAGACACGGCCCAGACUCCUACGGGAGGCAGCAGUAGGGAAUCUUCCACAAUGGACGAAAGUCUGAUGGAGCAACGCCGCGUGAGCGAUGAAGGCCUUCGGGUCGUAAAGCUCUGUUGUUAGGGAAGAACAAGUACCGGAGUAACUGCCGGUACCUGACGG
rnacentral:rRNA from 1 species